CCUACGGGUGGCAGCAGUGAGGAAUAUUGGUCAAUGGACGCGAGUCUGAACCAGCCAAGUAGCGUGAAGGAUGACUGCCCUAUGGGUUGUAAACUUCUUUUAUAUGGGAAUAAAACGUUCCACGUGUGGGAUUUUGUAUGUACCAUAUGAAUAAGGAUCGGCUAACUCCGUGCCAGCAGCCGAGGUAAUACGGAGGAUCCGAGCGUUGUCCGGAUUUAUUGGGUUUAAAGGGAGCGUAGGUGGAUUGUUAAGUCAGUUGUGAAAGUUUGCGGCUCAACCGUAAAAUUGCAGUUGAAACUGGCAGUCUUGAGUACAGUAGAGGUGGGCGGAAUUCGUGGUGUAGCGGUGAAAUGCUUAGAUAUCACGAAGAACUCCGAUUGCGAAGGCAGUUCACUGGACUGCAACUGACACUGAGGCUCGAAAGUGUGGGUAUCAAACAGGAUUAGAUACCCCAGUAGUC
rnacentral:rRNA from 1 species